rnacentral:misc_RNA from 1 species
GAUGAAGAACGCAGCGAAAUGCGAUACGUAGUGUGAAUUGCAGAAUUCAGUGAGUCAUCGAAUCUUUGAACGCACAUUGCACCUCUCGGUAUUCCGGGAGGUAUGCCUGUUCGAGCGUCAUUUGUACCCUCAAGCUCUGCUUGGUGUUGGGUGUUUGUUCCGCCUCUGUGUGUGAACUCGCCUCAAAACAAUUGGCAGCCGGCGUACUUGUUUCGGAGCGCAGCACAUUUUGCGAUCCAGAUCAACGUACAGCGGCAUCCAAGAAGCCUUAUUUAACGCUCUUGACCUCGGAUCAGGUAGGGAUACCCGCUGAACUUAAGCAUAUCAAUAAGCGGAGGA